rnacentral:rRNA from 1 species
UGCGUAGGCGGAAUAUUAAGUCAGUGGUGAAAUCCUGCAGCUUAACUGUAGAACAGCCAUUGAUACUGUUAUUCUUGAAUUUAGUUGAGGUGGGCGGAACGUGUAAUGUAGCGGUGAAAUGCUUAGAUAUUACACAGAACACCGAUUGCGAAGGCAGCUCACUAAACUAAUAUUGACGCUGAGGCACGAAAGCGUGGGUAGCGAACAGGAUUAGAUACCCUGGUAGUC